AUUGAACGCUGGCGGCAGGCCUAACACAUGCAAGUCGAGCGGAGCGGCGGACGGGUGAGUAAUGCCUAGGUAUCUGCCUGGUCGUGGGGGAUAACGUCCGGAAACGGGCGCUAAUACCGCAUCCUAUCAGAUGAGCCUAGGUCGGAUUAGCUAGUGGGUGGGGUAAGGGCCAACCAAGGCGACGACCCGUAACUGGUCUGAGAGGAUGAUCAGUCACACGGGAACUGAGACACGGUCCAGACUCCUACGGGAGGCAGCAGUGGGGAAUAUUGGACAAUGGGCGAAAGCCUGAUCCAGCCAUGCCGCGUGUGUGAAGAAGGCCUUCGGGUUGUAAAGCACUUUCAGCGGGGAGGCGUUACCCGCAGAAGAAGCACCGGCUAACUCCGUGCCAGCAGCCGCGGUAAUAC
rnacentral:rRNA from 1 species